UACGGAGGGUGCAAGCGUUAAUCGGAAUUACUGGGCGUAAAGCGCACGCAGGCGGUCUGGCAAGUCAGAUGUGAAAUCCCCGGGCUCAACCCGGGAACUGCAUUCGAUACUGUCAGACUAGAGUCUUGUAGAGGGGGGUAGAAUUUGUGGUGUAGCGGUGAAAUGCGUAGAGAUCUGGAGGAAUACCGGUGGCGAAGGCAGCCCCCUGGAGAAAGACUGACGCUCAGGUGCGAAAGCGUGGGGAGCAAACAGG
rnacentral:rRNA from 1 species